AGCGAACGCUGGCGGCAGGCCUAACACAUGCAAGUCGAACGAAGUCUUCGGACUUAGUGGCGGACGGGUGAGUAACACGUGGGAACGUACCUUUUGGUUCGGAACAACUCAGGGAAACUUGAGCUAAUACCGGAUGAGCCCUUAGGGGGAAAGAUUUAUCGCCGAAAGAGCGGACCGCGUUAGAUUAGCUAGUUGGUGAGGUAAAGGCUCACCAAGGCAACGAUCUAUAGCUGGUCUGAGAGGAUGAUCAGCCACACUGGGACUGAGACACGGCCCAGACUCCUACGGGAGGCAGCAGUGGGGAAUCUUGCGCAAUGGGCGAAAGCCUGACGCAGCCAUGCCGCGUGAAUGAUGAAGGUCUUAGGAUUGUAAAAUUCUUUUACCAGGGACGAUAAUGACGGUACCUGGAGAAAAAGCCCCGGCUAACUUCGUGCCAGCCGCCGCUGUAACAC
rnacentral:rRNA from 1 species